GACGAACGCUGGCGGCGUGCUUAACACAUGCAAGUCGAACGGAAAGGCCCUGCUUUUGUGGGGUGCUCGAGUGGCGAACGGGUGAGUAACACGUGAGUAACCUGCCCUUGACUUUGGGAUAACUUCAGGAAACUGGGGCUAAUACCGGAUAGGAGCUCCUGCUGCAUGGUGGGGGUUGGAAAGUUUCGGCGGUUGGGGAUGGACUCGCGUCUUAUCAGCUUGUUGUUGGGGUAGUGGCUUACCAAGGCUUUGACGGGUAGCCGGCCUGAGAGGGUGACCGGCCACAUUGGGACUGAGAUACGGCCCAGACUCCUACGGGAGGCAGCAGUGGGGAAUAUUGCACAAUGGGCGGAAGCCUGAUGCAGCAACGCCGCGUGCGGGAUGACGGCCUUCGGGUUGUAAACCGCUUUCGCCUGUGACGAAGCGUGAGUGACGGUAAUGGGUAAAGAAGCACCGGCUAACUACGUG
rnacentral:rRNA from 1 species